CAACAGACGUCAACGGCGGAUGUUUUACAGCCAUGCAAAGCUGGAACUGCAAGGUACGGAAUUUCAUCUGGUAAGAGCAGAAACUAAAAAGAGAAUACCGAACGUGCCUACAGUAGUGGAUAACUACGCGAAAGCGUAGCUAAUAUCGCAUGAAUACCUUCGGUAAAGCGGGGGACCUUCGUGCCUCGCACCAUGAGCGCCGACAUCAAUUUAGCUAGCUGGUGGGGUAACGGCUCACCAAGGCGACGAUCCGUAGCUGGUUUGAGAGGACGACCAGCCGUAAUUGGGACCAGAUACGCAGCCCAGACUCCUACGGGAGGCAGCAAGUAAUUUUUGGACAAUGGGGAACUUUCGAUCCAGCCAACCCUGUGGGGUGACAGGCCUAUGGUUAAAGCACUUUUGGCAGGAAGAAACGGCACGGACAAUACUCCCGCAACUGACGGUACCUGCAGAAUAAGCACCGGCUAACUACGUGCCAGCAGCCGCGGUAAUACGUAGGGUGCAAGCGUUAAUCGGAAUUACUGGGCGUAAAAGCGUGCGCAGGCGGUUCGGAAGAAAGAUGUGAAAUCCCCGUGAGCUUAACUUUGGAACUGCAUUUUUAACUACCGAGCUUGGGAGUGUGUCAGAGAGGGGAAUCGCGCAGCAGUGAAAUGCGUAGAUAUGUGAGGAACACCGAUGGCGAAGGCAGCCUCCUGGGAUAAAUACACCGCUCAUGCACGAAAGCGUGGGGAGCAACAGGAUUAGAUACUCCUCGUAAACUACGCCUCAAACGAUGUCAAUUAGCUGUUGGGCUCCGGGCUCGGUAGCGCAGCUAACGGGCCGAAUCGCCUGUGAGUACGGUCGCAGACAAAACUCAAAGGAAUUGACGGGGACCCGCACAAGCGGUGGAUGAUGCAGGGAUUAAUUCGAUGCACCCGGAAAACUCCACUACCUCAUGUCUGGAAUCCCGAAGAGAUUUGGGAGUGCUCGCAAGAGAACCGGAACACAGGUGCUGCAUGGCUGUCGUCAGCUCGUGUCGAGAUGCUGUUGUCCCGCAACGAGCGCAACCCUUGUCAUUGCUGCUGAAAGGGCACUCAUCGAGACUGCCAGACAAACCGGAGGAAGGUGAUGACGUCAAGCCUCAUGGCCCUUAUGGGUAGGGCUUCACAUCGUCAGUGAAGAGUUUCACCACAGAGGGCUGCCAACCCGCGAGGGAGCCAAUCCCAGAAACCCGAUCGUAGUCCGGAUCGCAGUCUGCAACUCGACUGCGUGAAGUCGGAAUCGCUAGUAAUCGCGGAUCAGCAGCGCCGUGAAUACGUUCCCGGGUCUGUACACACCGCCCGUCACACCAUGGGAGUGGGUUUUGCACGUGUGGAAGGCAGCGCCAGGCCCAACUGUGCGAGGGCGAUUACCACGGUAGGACUCAUGACUGGGUGCGAAGUCGUAUUGUAAGGUAA
rnacentral:rRNA from 1 species